AUUGAACGCUGGCGGCAGGCCUAACACAUGCAAGUCGAGCGAGCGGCGGACGGGUGAGUAAUGUCUGGGAAUCUGCCUGAUGGAGGGGGAUAACUACUGGAAACGGUAGCUAAUACCGCAUACCCUCAGAUGUGCCCAUAUGGGAUUAGCUAGUAGGUGGGGUAAUGGCUCACCUAGGCGAUGAUCCCUAGCUGGUCUGAGAGGAUGAACAGCCACACUGGAACUGAGACACGGUCCAGACUCCUACGGGAGGCAGCAGUGGGGAAUAGUGCACAAUGGGCGCAAGCCUGAUGCAGCCAUGCCGCGUGUAUGAAGAAGGCCUUCGGGUUGUAAAGCACUUUCAGUGGGGAGGCGUUACCGGCAGAAGAAGCACCGGCUAACUCCGUGCCAGCAGCCGCGGUAAUAC
rnacentral:rRNA from 1 species